UACGGAGGGGGCGAGCGUUGUUCGGAGUUACUGGGCGUAAAGCGCACGUAGGCGGCCUGGUAAGUCAGGGGUGAAAUCCCACGGCUCAACCGUGGAAUUGCCUUUGAAACUGCUGGGCUUGGAUCCUGGAGAGGGUGGCGGAAUUCCUGGUGUAGGAGUGAAAUCCGUAGAUAUCAGGAGGAACACCGGUGGCGAAGGCGGCCGCCUGGACAGGUAUCGACGCUGAGGCGCGAAAGUGUGGGGAGCAAACAGG
rnacentral:rRNA from 1 species